rnacentral:tRNA from 2 species
GGUCGAUUGGUCUAGUGGUAUGACCGGAUCAGUCAAUUUGAUCUUAACCUGGGUUCGAAUCCCAGAUCGACUA